rnacentral:rRNA from 1 species
GAGGAAUAUUGGUCAAUGGGCGAUAGCCUGAACCAGCCAAGUCGCGUGAGGGAAGACGGUCCUAAGGAUUGUAAACCUCUUUUGUCGGGGAGCAAGAAAGGGUAUGCAUACCCUACUGAGAGUACCCGAAGAAAAAGCAUCGGCUAACUCCGUGCCAGCAGCCGCGGUAAUACGGAGGAUGCGAGCGUUAUCCGGAUUUAUUGGGUUUAAAGGGUGCGCAGGCGGGCCGGAAAGUCAGCGGUAAAAUAGCGGGGCUCAACCCCGUCGAGCCGUUGAAACUGUCGGUCUAGAGUGGGCGAGAAGUAUGCGGAAUGCGUGGUGUAGCGGUGAAAUGCAUAGAUAUCACGCAGAACUCCGAUUGCGAAGGCAGCAUACCGGCGCCCGACUGACGCUCAUGCACGAAAGCGUGGGUAUCGAAC